rnacentral:tRNA from 1 species
GGGUGCGUAGUUUAAUGGGAAAACGAUUAAGGAGAGACGAGAGAACGGCAACCUCUUAUGGUUUGUAUCGGCUUGUGAAACGCGAAACAAUAAAUGCAGGUUCGAAUCCUGCCGCACUCCCA